AGCUUUGACAUCUGAUGUGAUCUUGUUAAGCGUCUGUUAGAGAGUCUGUUCGACAGAGGAUAAGGAACAAACACAAUGAUACUCCAUUCUGUCAUUCUGCUUUCUGCAUUUGCAUAUGCAACAUAUGGAAAUGAAAUUAAACCAGCCAAAACAGAGGAGUUUGCUGUCGAGGGUUCAAGUGUUACAUUAUCCUGCAGUUAUUCCUCUGCAUAUACUCUUCACUGGUACCGUCAGUAUCCCGGAUCAGCUCCUGAAUUCAUUGUGCUUAUCUCAAACAAUGCAAAAGACCCCGAGAAAUCUUAUGUAGAUUCCAGAUUCACUACUGAGAUCAGAAAAGAAAAACAAAGCCAUGUGAAUCUGGAGAUCUCCUCUGCUACUCUGAAAGACUCUGCUGUGUAUUACUGUGCUCUGCAGCCCACAGUCACAGGAAACACUAGAACACUGUACAAAAACCUGCUUCUGCUCUGGAUGAGGAAUCAAUGGUCUUCGAUAGUUCAGGAGAAGUGGGACCCUUGAAUCUUGAAUUAUUCCCAGAUCGCAUCCAGUAUACAGUAUACCAAGAAGCUGCAUGCAAUUUUGAGCUUUUUUUUUAAUGCAAAUGCAUUAAUACUGUAAGUGAAAAAGUGUUUGUCUAAAACAUGUCAGAAAUGUAUAAAAGUUGUCAAUACACAAAAGAAGUCACACCCUCUUCAGAAAUAAUCCCCAACCCUCCUAUAACCCCCAAAACCAUUGCGUCUGAUUCGUACUUUCCUGCUAAUUUUCUGUUCUUGAAAUUUUUCAUAUUUUUUGCAAUAGAUACACAGUUAAAUGAGUGAUCUUGAGAUGAGUCUCUGUAGUCUUCCAAUUUGUUUUUCAUAUGUUAAUUGAUGUAACAUAAACUUGACAUUGAUCUUUACGGCCAUAGGUGUGAGGACCCUCCUGGAAUUGCUCCGUUUAUUAUAAAUUGUUUGAUCAUCAUCUUCUCAGUUGUUUAAAAGAUUAAGGAAGUUAUAAAAGCUGAAUAAAACCUGUUUUAA